UCGCUAGCGCUCGCUGUAGAAGAGCUGCUUCCCCUUUCCUUGAUGUAAGCAGAGCCCCAUUGGCGUUUGGGCCUGUUUUUAUUUGGCCACUCACGCAGUUAUGCUGACUGAAAGGUCCCUUGAGCACCGCUGACUCAAAAACACCCAUGGUCGCAGAGUCCUGAGCAAGGAGAACAGAAAGCAUCUGGCACUUCCCUGUCCCCAUUUCAGGACCGAGAGAGGUAGAACCCAAAGCUGAGGCUGCAGAGCGUGACUCUUAGUCAUAUCAACAGGGGAUUUUGCAAUUGGUGGGUGCGGGGUGCGAGGCAGGCAGUCUGCAAGCAAAUUUGAAGUGCUCUGCAAAGCACUGGAGUGGGGUUCCUCUGCUGCCAGGCCUGCGCAGCACAGUGCGGCCCUCACUCCCUGCUGCCCUGCAGCCUGCCGGGCCGCUCCAUUUGGGCACAGGGUUUAGCACAAGUGAGCAGGCAGCUCACGUGGUGAGCGGUGGGUGGCCAUGGCUGCCCUGUAUCUGCCUCCUGUUCACAUUUGCAGCAGCCGACUUCUAUGCAAGGCAGGGUCUAAAGUGGAUCCCGCUGAGUUUGGCCCAGUUUGGCUGGUGCUGUUCAGCUCAGGGACAGGAUGGAAGGAUGGAGCUGAGACUCAUAGAGCCAGCACUCCCAGCAUCCCAUUCCUGCAGUGGAUACACAGAUUACCUAUCAGUAGAGCUCCUUCUUAAGCCGGAUUGAUUGAGGCAGAAUUUGCAAUCGUUGAAUGAGAGAUGACACAGUCAUAGAAUGGCUCAGGUUGGAGGGGACGCUAAAGAUCACCCAGUUCCAGCCCACCGCCGUGGGCAGGGAUGUGGAUGGAGAACUGCUUUGUACUGUAACAGUUUCAUUUAGAAGCGAGAAGUCCUUCAUGAGGAGGUAGUGGGAGGAGGAGGUUAUUGACAAUGCCACUCCUGUCCGAAGGAAUGUGCUGGAAAGUUGCAGUGGCCUCUAGAUGGCAGCCCCAUUACUCACUCGUCAGAAAACUGAAAAUAAACGCCUUCCCUUUCAAAGCUGGACUUACAGGCAGGCCUAAAGCUUCGGGAGCUCAGACCAAAACCCGCGGGCAGUCAAGAUGACAGUGGGACCCAUCCGGCUUUGUUUUUUCCCCUUCGCCUCGCCCAAAAGGAGGAGCGAGGACUCGCUUCCCUCUGGACUCUGUAUUUGGUAAUGGGCCGGGAGCUGCCGCUGGGAGCUCGUCCUGACGUUCCUGGAGUCGUCUGGAAAGCGAGGCGGAGCCGCGGUGCUGUGCCCAGGGGUGCGCCUCGCCCCGGGUGCCGGCGGCUGUGCUGGGAGCGGGAGGUCCGCGCCGUGCUGCCGUGUGUGACCCGUGGGACGCGGGGCGGGCAGCUUCCACAGCACCAGAGCAGCGCUCUGCCAGAGCUAUUUGUAUAGUAAAUUGCUGUAUUGUUUCAAUUAAAAAAACGCAGCCGGGCAUUUAAUGGCUCCCAUCUGCGGCCACUCUGCGUAAUUCACUUCCCACUUUAAGGUUUGAAUUCUCCUUUUCUCUUGUAAUCGUGGGGACAAAAAGGGAGAGUUGAUGUCCCUAAUGUUGAUAGAUCUAUCUUCGUGCUCUCUGCUUUAAAUGAGGUUAACCGGGCUUUUGAGGGAGAAGAGUCAUAAAUAUUUCCUUGUGUGAGCGGAGAUGCUGGCACCGGGAAUCAUGGGAAUCCAUCUCAGCCAGCUAUUAACAGACUGUUAACAGACCGUCUUUCUAAUUGACUUAAAUGUUACUCAGUUGACCCCGUUUCAAUAUUUCCUGAGAACUCAUAGUCUUUACUUUUUCCAUCCUCGCAAUACCCUGGGAGCUAACUGCCGUAUUCACAGAGGGAGCUGAGGGAACCAGGUUCCAAAGGUGGUGGGGCCCUACAGGCGGGGCCUGGGGCUCACACGUCCGACCUGCGCUGACAUCCAAAGCAGUCGGGACCGCUGCUCUUCUGAAAUCCCACUGGGCUCCCUCUGGCGUCUUUAACACCUCAGUACUUACAGUACCUCUCGUAGUGGGAUUUGUGCGCGCACAGAAGGCAGGCGGCAUCCACAGGGUUUUGCCAGCAGAUUUAGUCUGAGCCUCAUCAGCAGGGGACCUGGAUAAGAAACCGUGGUCAGCUGCCUCUCAGCUCCGAGCCAGUCUUCCUCAAAGAGCGACGGUAACUUUGGAUGCCACGACUGCGUGACACGCAGCUGCAACCUUGACCUGGUAGGAUCUCCUACGGUCAGAUCCAGCAGAGAGGAGGUGUGCAGUGGGAGCACAUGGGGCGUGAACACAGAGGUUCCUGCUGAGGCAGAAGAAGGUGGCGUGACCCCGAAAAAGGGAACAGGAGCUGCAACUUCCACCCUUGUGGGCUAAGAGGAACGACCACCCCUGAGGUCCCAUGAAGCUGCAGGCUGCUCCAGACCCACCCUUAUGCGGGAAGGAAC
ensembl:lncRNA